rnacentral:lncRNA from 1 species
CUCCCCUCUUGCUAAAGUAUUUCAAGGAACCCCCUGAGGUCCUUAGGUAUCCACAAAUUAGUCCGGGUAGUCCCUUGCCACUGCUGGUAACAAAAUCAGAACUCAGCCUCAGGAUGCAACAAAUCCAUGGAAGUUUCCCUUUAGGCUGGCACCUGCCCUAGACGACACAGCCUCCACUAGGUGGCAUAGGGCUGAAAAUGUGCCAUGCCCUGAUACCAGUGGGCACCAUUGUUCUCAUGAAGAGGGGAGAGUCCAUUUUCACUUUUGCCCAUUUGGGGUCCCAGAGCAAGACUGCUUGAGUUCCCAAAUAUUCCAGACAGAGUGACACCUUCUUUCUUUUGCCACCUGAGCCAGCUCCAGCCUCUAGAGUUCCAUCCACAGAGGUGCAGCCUGAGUGUGACCUUGUUCUCAUUCCUGUCACUACUGUCACCACUGCCUGGAUGUGAACAGAGCAGGAGACCCUCCUUGGCUCAAAGCAAGUGGAACAGGACUGUGGGCCCCCCGAAACUGAGACAUUGAAUGUGGGGGCUGCACCAAAAGACCAGAGAUCCAGGUUACCACUCAGGAAAAGAGAGGAGAGCAUGCCUCCUGAGUGUGCUCGGCCUGAGGGUGGAAGGGAAAGUGUCCCACCGCAGGGCUGCUUGAGCCCUGACGUGUCACAGCCUUUCCUGUGCUCACAGAGAACCCACAUCGUGACAUGUGAGGUGAACAAAGCUGACGCCAGCCACAUUUCCUGCAAGCAUUUCCUGUAGUUGGGUUUUGAUCGUGACUGACGUUUCCAAAGCCCAGCUGGCCAGGGAUAAAAUCUUUUCUACAGGAGCCUCCUCAGCCCCUGUAUCCAGAGCCACUCCCCUUACCGGGACUCCUUCUGCCUCAACUCUGUGCUCCAGCGAACUGGACUGUUCACAGGAGGCAACUCGACCUGCCUACAUCACCUCCACCCGUGGAAAUCCUAGCCAUUUCCUUGCCAAUAGCCACCCUUUCCUCUCUGCUUACUAUGUGCCAGACAGCGCGCCCCCAGCACGCCAUAGUGCAUCAUCCGGUGUGACCCCACCACAACCCAGGAAGUGAGUGA